UGGUUAGCUGAGUGGUUAGAGCUCUCCCCUGGAAAUGGAGAGGUUCCAGGUUCAAUACCAGGACCA
rnacentral:tRNA from 1 species